UUUCCUGCCAGAGCAGUAAAUACAUCAGCUGAGCUAGCAGCAGCAUGCUAACUGGCUACUCCCUCUAUCAGCGCAAUAUAACAUGUUUUCUCUUUAAUAUUUAACCAGUUUAAAGUCCGGCGUCUGCUGGGUGAGUGGUGUAUUUAGAUAAGUGAUGAACUGACAGCUUUACUUUAUGAUAAAUUAAGAAACUAGUCCAUUUAAUACUGUUAGCUUAGCUUAGCUUCACGCUUAGCUUCAGGCUAGCUGAGUUAGAGUCUGCAGUCUGCAGGAGGCUGAGCUGCUGGUGACUAUGCAAGGAGAGACUACAGCUGUACGGAGCUCGGAGAACGAGGGAAAGCUGGAUGUUUUACCCCAGAACAGGACCCCAAGCUCGGGCAGAGCUAGUGCCAAGAGCUGGCAGUACAGUGAUCACAUGGAGAAUAUUGAUGGCUACUUGAUGAAAUACACCAACCUUGUAACAGGGUGGCAAUACAGGUUCUUUGUUUUGAACAAUGAGGCGGGCUUGCUGGAGUAUUUUGUCAAUGAGCAGUCGCGGUCCCAGAAGCCCCGUGGCAUGCUCCCCCUGGCAGGGGCCGUCAUCUCCCCCAGUGAUGAGGACUCGCAUACCUUCACUGUCAACGCCAUCAGCGGGGAGCAGUACAAGCUCAGGGCCACCGACGCCAAAGAGAGACAGCACUGGGUGAGCCGACUGCAGAUCUGCACGCAGCACCACACGGAGGCCAUGGGGAAGAGUAACCCCCCACCCAAGUCCCGGAGCUACUCGAUGGCGUCUCAAGGCAGCGGCAGUUCCCCGAUGUCCGUGCGCCGGCCCAGCCAAAACCCUGCCUCCUUAUUCGGCUGGCCGCAGGUCAACAAGGGCUCGUCACUCUACUCCAGCAAGAGGUCUCUGCUGCCGGACCACCUGAUGGACGCCAGAGAGAUGAUGAGCCAGGCCCAGGGCCAACACCGAGACCUGAUCCAGAGCAUCGAGGGCCUGCCUCCAGUCCCCGGCUUCUCCCCUCUAGACCAGGACCUGCUGAUGCUCAAGGCCACUUCCAUGGCCACCAUGAACUGCCUCAACGAGUGCCUGCACAUCCUGCACCUGCAGCAGGUGGCCAGGCAGAGAGGCUCCCUGGGAGGACCCACCAUCGAGUGGUUGGAGCCCAAGCUGCCGGACAUCCUGAAGAACGGCAGCAGCUCCCUGGGCAGCUUCACGACGGGGGAGGGCGCGCUGGAGGGGAGCCGCCUGGAGCUCAGCAGCCCCGAGUCCUGCAGCUUCUCUGGGGAACAGGAAGACAUCGAUGCGGAGGAUGAGGCGGAGGACUCCUUCACCGACAAGGAGGAGGACCUCGGCGCCGUGGAGGAGGAGCGCAGCGUCAUCCUACACCUGCUGUCCCAGCUGAAGCUGGGUAUGGACCUCACGCGGGUGGUCCUCCCCACCUUCAUCCUAGAGAAGCGCUCUCUGCUGGAGAUGUACGCCGACUUCAUGUCCCACCCGGACCUCUUUGUGGCCAUCACCGACGGCAGCAGCCCGGAGGACCGCAUGGUCCGGUUUGUGGAGUACUACCUCACCUCCUUCCACGAGGGCCGCAAGGGGGCCAUUGCCAAGAAGCCCUACAACCCCAUCAUCGGUGAGACCUUCCACUGCUCCUGGAAGGUGCCCAGGAGUCCAGAGGACUCCAAGGAGCCCUCGCAGGGAAGCCCCGAACCGCCCACCUCCCAGGACCCCUACCAAGUGCGCUUUGUGGCAGAGCAGGUGUCCCACCACCCCCCCGUGUCUGGCUUCUACGCUGAAUGCCAAGAGAGGCGGAUGUGUGUGAACACGCAUGUGUGGACCAAGAGCAAGUUCAUGGGGAUGUCCAUCGGCGUGUCCAUGAUAGGGGAAGGUUGUCUGUAUUUGCUGGAGCACGAUGAAGAGUACACUUUCACGCUGCCUUGUGCAUACGCACGCUCCAUCCUCACUGUUCCCUGGGUGGAACUGGGCGGCAAAGUCAACAUCAACUGCGCUAAGUCGGGCUACUCGGCCGUCAUCACUUUCCAGACUAAACCAUUUUACGGUGGCAAAUUACACAAGGUAACAGGGGAGGUGAAGCACAACACCACCAAUGCGGUGGUGUGUCGCGUGCAGGGCGAGUGGAACGGCGUCCUGGAGUUCAGCUACACCAGCGGAGAGACGAGGGUGGUCGACGUCACCAAGCUGCCUGUUACGAAGAAGAGCGUUCGGCCGACUGAGAAGCAGGGACCGACUGAAUCCAGGCGCCUGUGGCAGCACGUGACGGAGUCCUUACGGCAGAAGGAUAUCGAAAAAGCCACGGAGCACAAGAGGAUUCUCGAGGAAAGGCAGAGGACGGAGGAGAGGCACCGGGCUGAGACCGAAACCGCUUGGAGGACCAGAUACUUUGACAGAGAGGGUGAAGGCUGGAACUAUCACAAACCACUCUGGAAAAACUCUACAUUCAAAUCCUAGUUUCUUCAGUCCGUAUCUUGGAUGUUGAUAUUGUAGAUUCAGGUAUGUGUGUGUGUGUGUGUGUGAGUGAGAGUGAGAGUGAGAGUGUGUGUGUCUGUGUGAGCGCACACACACGGUCAUGAAAUGAGAGGAUGACCUGCACUGACGUACAGAUGAAUGCAACAUGGGGAGGAGGACCGAGAGACAGCAUGACAGAAAGUGUUCUCGAAUCUCGCUCAUAAUUUUCACGAAGCCUCGGAGGAGUACAAGCUUCUGUACUGCUGAUCAGUUGUUUUUUUAUAAUCCAAUGUCGGUGAAAACAUAUUCUUGUACAGGUAAUAAUGGUACUCUAUUUACACAGCCUUAAGAUAGUCUGAUGAACGAUCUGCUGAUCAACCUGGAUAUCUUUUCUUCUUCUUUUUUUGUUCCAAGCUUGUGGUAUCACACUAAGGUCAAGUGACUUUUGAGGAGUUUCUUCCUACAAUAAGAUAUCCAACUUAACAAAAACCUAAAUAAUUGGAAUACUGCCUGAUAAAUGUACUGCUGUGAAAAUGUUGUAAAUUUGAUUUAGUGUACUGGAAUGUAAAUUUGCCGUAUAUGAUCUUCAUCUAUGUUAAACCGCCUGGAGACUUUGCUUCAAAUCAAAGUAUUUCUCUCUAACAAAUAUAAACAUUCAUGACUAAAUAAGCAAUCAAAUAAAAAAAACAAACUGUUAAGGUACUAACUUUUGAGUUUAACAACAAAUAACUCGGCUAAUCUGCUUCAUCAGGACUGUAUGCUUGUGUUUUCAUCAGAUUUGAUUGACUGUAAUCAAACAAACCAUCAGAUUCAGAUGUUUAAUCCUGAUUUGGUGCACGGAAGAAUGUGACAUCAACUUCAAAUCUGUGAGGAGAGCACGAAGAAAAGAGGGAAAACUAAAAUCGUAAUUGUAAAUCCUGUGGUUUUGCAGUGGAUGGAAAAACUCCUACAUGCAUGAUGGCAAAGUCUCUGUUCACAUUGAUUGCAGCAAGUAUACUACUCCUGUGUCUGCGUUACUUCAAUUUAUAAACGUCUGUUGUAAAAGCUUUUAACCAAAUUUGCUUGUUUUGUAACACAAAUAAAUAUUAUUUUCUUCGAAUGCGUAUUUAUCCCCAUCUUUGCGCUUUAAUUGCUCUUAUUUUUAGAGCCACAUUUUGUAUAGAGACGUUAACAUUUCUCAUUUCAUCAUCUUAAUUCCAAUCUGUGAUGUAUAUGAUGAACUCUUCUUUGUCUCCCAUCCCUCUCCUCUAGCCUCACACUCUCAAUGCAUCCGAGCAUCAAGUAGGACACAGUUCCUAUUCUCUCCACCCUGCCAUUGAUAAGCUACUCCCUUCACGUCUUGGUGCCUUAUGCAAACUCUUUGUGUGUGUGUCUUCCAGCUAAGGAGCACAGCGUUUUCAUCCGUUUUCCACCUGACAGAAGGCAAAUGUAUUAUUUGUGUGUGUUUCCUUUUAAGAAUCAGUGCUUCAUGUUGAGUGACUUUUGGAUUCUACUGGUAUUCUUGCUGACCUAUGAAAUGCACUGACAUUGAAGGAAACCUGAUGUUGUAGAAAAAUGGAAAUGUGUGGAAAAUAAUCAAAUAAAUUGCGUAUCAGUUGUACACCAAGUUUUCUUACUGUUUGUCAUGCAUUCAGAAGCACCUUUUUUUUUAUUUUAUCCUAAUAAAGAAAUAUGGUGUA